UACGGAGGGUGCAAGCGUUAUCCGGAUUCACUGGGUUUAAAGGGUGCGUAGGUGGGUUGGUAAGUCAGUGGUGAAAUCUCCGUGCUUAACAUGGAAACUGCCAUUGAUACUACUGAUCUUGAAUUUUCUGGAGGUAAGCGGAAUAUGUCAUGUAGCGGUGAAAUGCUUAGAUAUGACAUAGAACACCAAUUGCGAAGGCAGCUUACUACACAAAUAUUGACGCUGAGGCACGAAAGCGUGGGGAUCAAACAGG
rnacentral:rRNA from 1 species